CAAUAGCAUUACUAUGGUAGUAUACGUAAUGCAAAAUAUAUACACAUACGUACACAAAUAUGAUGACUUUAGUGUUCAAAUGGCCUGAUGGCUUGUUUGUAAAAUUAAUUUAGCAAAGGGCUAAAGAUAAAUUUACUUGACUUAUGUGGCAUUUGCAUGUAAUCCAGGGGGCGACUCAUAAGCCUGAGGGCACAUAAAAUAAUUGCAUGGACAAAUCCACGAAUGAGUAAAAUUACAAGGGCUGAAGUGCAAAAUUUGCCAAAGGAUAAGAUUCCCCAAUCUUCUUCUCUCCUCUGCGUGCGUACGCGGUGGCCAUUGAAUACACCUGGAAUCCACGAAUGAAUAAAACACCGCCGUUGUUGCUGCUAUCUUUUGGAACGACGACUUGCCGUGCGUCUGCACGCGCCUGGAACCGAUGAGGCAACGCCGCGCGUUGCCACUGGGCUAAGGCCCGCGCCGCCGUCUGGGGCAGUCUGGUCGUCUAAGUCCAGCCGGAGCAGUGGAGGCCUGUAGGGCGCUACCGCCCUGUGGCGUGCAUCUGGAGAAGCCGCGUCGAGGCCGAAGACCGCAGCAGAUCUUUGCGCUUGGAGCCGCCUCCGCGCCGGAGGGUGUCGGUGUACCACGCGCCGGCAUCCUUGACCAUGUCGACGAUCGACGGAGAUGUGGAUCGCCGGGGUUGGUGAUGUUCGUCGUGCCGGAUAACGCCGGCAAUCGCGCGAGGCGUCGAGGAGGUCUGUGCGUGUACGCCUUGUUGAUGCGUCCGAGCGCCGUCGUAUGUUUCUCUGGCCUAAUCGCUCUGUUAGGGCAAGAUGUUGAUAACGUAUUAAGAGUAAACGAGAGAGAGGAAACGAAUGAUUGGAAUGAAGAGUCUCUCUCAUUGAUGGA